GAUGAACGCUAGCGGCAGGCUUAACACAUGCAAGUCGAGGGGUAGAAGUUGCUUGCAACUUUGAGACCGGCGCACGGGUGCGUAACGCGUAUGCAAUCUACCUUAUACAGAGGGAUAGCCCAGAGAAAUUUGGAUUAAUACCUCAUAGUAUAAUUGAAUGGCAUCAUUUAAUUAUUAAAGUUCCAACGGUAUAAGAUGAGCAUGCGUCCUAUUAGCUAGAUGGUAAGGUAACGGCUUACCAUGGCAACGAUAGGUAGGGGUCCUGAGAGGGAGAUCCCCCACACUGGUACUGAGACACGGACCAGACUCCUACGGGAGGCAGCAGUGAGGAAUAUUGGACAAUGGGCGCAAGCCUGAUCCAGCCAUGCCGCGUGCAGGAAGAAGCAUCUAUGGUGUGUAAACUGCUUUUGUACGGGAAGAAACACCCCUUCGUGAAGGGACUUGACGGUACCGUAAGAAUAAGGAUCGGCUAACUCCGUGCCAGCAGCCGCCGUAACAC
rnacentral:rRNA from 1 species